ACGGGAGGCAGCAGUGGGGAAUAUUGGACAAUGGGGGAAACCCUGAUCCAGCGACGCCGCGUGAGUGAAGAAGUAUUUCGGUAUGUAAAGCUCUAUCAGCAGGGAAGAUAAUGACGGUACCUGACUAAGAAGCCCCGGCUAACUACGUGCCAGCAGCCGCGGUAAUACGUAGGUGGCAAGCGUUAUCCGGAUUUACUGGGUGUAAAGGGUGUGUAGGCGGGUGUGCAAGUCAGAUGUGAAAACUAUGGGCUCAACUCAUAGCCUGCAUUUGAAACUGCAUAUCUUGAGAGUCGGAGAGGUAAACGGAAUUCCCGGUGUAGCGGUGAAAUGCGCAGAUAUCGGGAGGAACAUCGGUGGCGAAGGCGGUUUACUGGACGACAACUGACGCUGAGACACGAAAGCGUGGGGAGCAAACAGGAUUAGAUACCCUGGUA
rnacentral:rRNA from 1 species